CUCGAUCUCCACCUUUGAUCUCCACCAGGUCCCCCAGGACGAGCUCGGCCGCGUUCACCUGCAGGGUCUGCCCCGCCCGGAUCACCGUGGCUUGCUGCCACAGGUGAGGAGAACACAGGUGAGCACAGGUGACACCACAGGUGACACCACAGGUGUCCCCAGGUGUGCCCAGGUGUGUCCCCAGGUGUCCCCAGGUGUCCCCAGGUGUGAUUUUCUCUCCCUCCAGCUUCCCCCAGCUGUCUCCAGGUGUCCCAGGUGUGUCCCCAGCUCCCCCCAGGUGACCCCAGGUGUGUCCCAGGUGUGUCCAGGUGUCCCAGGUGUGUUUUUGAUGUCCCCAGGUGUCCCAGGUGUGAUUUUGUCUCUCCCCAGGUGUCCCAGGUGUGUCCCAGGUGUGUUUUUCUCUCCCCCAGGUGUCCCCAGGUGUCCCCAGGUGUCCCAGGUGUGUCUCAGCUGUCCCCAGGUGUCCCCAGGUGUCCCCAGGUGUCCCCAGGUGUGUCCCAGGUGUGUUUUUGAUGUCCCCAUGUGUCCCCAGCUGUCCCCAGGUGUGUUUUUGAUGUCCCCUGGUGUCCCAGGUGUGUCCCAGGUGUGUCCCAGGUGUGUCCCAGGUGUGUCCCAGGUGUGUUUUUGAUGUCCCCAGGUGUCCCCAGCUGUCCCCAGGUGUGUUUUUGAUGUCCCCUGGUGUCCCCAGGUGUCCCCAGGUGUCCCAGGUGUCCCCAGCUGUCCCCAGGUGUGUUUUUGAUGUCCCCAGGUGUCCCCAGGUGUCCCAGGUGUGCCAGGUGCGCUCACCUGCGGGACCAGGUUGCGGAAGCUGGCGAUGAUGUUGGUGCUCUUGAACUCCUGGUAGUACCCGAAGCACCCGGUGACGACCACGACGGCGAUGAGAGCCACGGCCAGGUAGAGCUGCAGGUGAGGCCAGGUGAGAGCGGGCCUGGGC
rnacentral:lncRNA from 1 species